rnacentral:rRNA from 1 species
UGGGGAAUUGUUCGCAAUGGGCGCAAGCCUGACGACGCAACGCCGCGUGGAGGAUGAAGAUCUUCGGGUCGUAAACUCCUGUCGAGUGGGACGAACGGCCUGUGGGUUAAUAGCCCAUGGGCAUGACGGUACUGCUAAAGGAAGCCCCGGCUAACUCCGUGCCAGCAGCCGCGGUAAUACGGGGGGGGCAAGCGUUGUUCGGAAUUACUGGGCGUAAAGGGCUCGUAGGCGGCCAACUAAGUCAGACGUGAAAUCCCUCGGCUUAACCGGGGAACUGCGUCUGAUACUGGAUGGCUUGAAUCCGGGAGAGGGAUGCGGAAUUCCAGGUGUAGCGGUGAAAUGCGUAGAUAUCUGGAGGAACACCGGUGGCGAAGGCGGCAUCCUGGACCGGUAUUGACGCUGAGGAGCGAAAGCUAGGGGAGCAAACGGGAUUAGAUACCCCCGUAGUCC